rnacentral:rRNA from 1 species
UACAGAGGGGGCAAGCGUUCUUCGGAAUUAUUGGGCGUAAAGGGCGCGUAGGCGGCCUGGCAAGUGGAUGGUGAAAUCCCUCGGCUUAACCGAGGAACUGCCAUCCAGACUGCUUGGCUUGAGACCGGGAGAGGUGAGUGGAAUUCCCAGUGUAGCGGUGAAAUGCGUAGAUAUUGGGAGGAACACCAGUGGCGAAGGCGGCUCACUGGACCGGUACUGACGCUGAGGCGCGAAAGCGUGGGGAGCAAACGGG